CGACGCCAUUGUUGUUCAGCAUCACUGUUGCGAACUUCAAGUCUGCUAACAUUUUGAGAUUUGAUUCACUCUUGUCACUAACUUUGCACCAUGUUCACGAGCGUGGCAAGCGUUUACCACCAAGCUCUCAACUGCUGAAGAUGAUUCCCUGCCCAUAACCCAGGCCCCUCUCCCCAACCCUGCCCUUUCGUCACUGUGUGGUUCCUCUAUGAACUUGGAGCAGGACAUCCCCGAGAUAGACUUGGGAGAUCCAACAGAACCAUUUGCAGUACAGCACGUAAAGCCAGUGAAGCAUGUAAAGCCAGAUACAUAUGCCGUCAUUGACAUGAGCCACCUGGAAGAAAUAACGCCACCACAGUCAUUUGUGACAGCAUGCUGCAGCUCCAGUGUAUUCAGCUUCAUCAAGAGAUUGUUCACUCUGUACUAAAUGGACAUUUCAUGUGGCUCAACACAAGUUGAACAUUUGCAAUAUAAUGAAAAUGUAAAGAACACUAUAUGCCUAUUUUGACUAUUUAGAUUUUUUGGCCUUUUGAUUGAAGCAAAGUGAAAUUAUCUAAUAUCAGUAAAUAUGUCCAUGAAUCUGACUUUUUGUUCAAAGUUUUGUUAUUAUAUUCAUAAAAGUUUUUUUCUGUUCUAGUGUGUGUGAUUCAAUUCUUAUUUGCAAGUUACUGGGGAUAUACAAAUGGGAUGGGGAAAAAAAGAUUAUAUGAUCAUUACAAUACAGUAUAAUGUAUAUUCUUGCUGCCAAUACAAUAAAUGUAAUGAAGUAGGCUGCAUAGUGAUAUAAGCAAUGAUUGGACUACAACAGAAAAACUACCUUAUGUGUUCUCAUAAUUUAUCAACUGAAUGCUUAAUAUAACAUUUUUAAUUACAUUAUGUUGCAAGAGGCUAUAUGACUGCCCUAAGGCAGGUAAAAAUUCAUGUUAAGUCAGGUCCAGAACUGAUUAUUGAUAGGCAGCUGUGUUAUAGCCAAAUAUUGCUGACUGGAGCAUUAAACAACACUAUUCUAACUCACUUAUUGUACCAACUCAACACUCAAAAAAUGACCAAGAUUGACUACUUGCAAAAAAAAGAAGCAGUCCCUUGCUGCCAUUGCAAGAAGUCCCCACAGUGGACAAUUCUGAUUGAAAGUUAUCGAUUCCAGUUGUGGGGAAAAUGCAUAUUGUAUGACGUGCGGCUUAAAAAAAAAGGCACAUACCUUUAGCUACCUAGGUAAGAAAGUUAUUUUGCUAGUGUUUUGGGGUGGUAUGCCCACUCCACAUGGGGCUUGCUGUUACAAACAUCUGGUGCAAACACCAGGUUGGUUCAGUAGUCGAACAGGCGAGGAUAAAUAUGAUUUCACGUUGUGUUACGGGUUACUGCACUUAUGUAACGAUAUGCAUUCAAGUGGCAUGUGCAAUUGUGUGUGUCUGGACUAAUGCUUGUUUUAUAAAUACUGAGAUACCA